UCACGAGAAGUACACUGAACCUUAUCAUUUAGAGGAAGGAGAAGUCGUAACAAGGUUUCCGUAGGUGAACCUGCGGAAGGAUCAUUGAUGUGUACCACCCCCUAAGAAAUCCCUCCCCCCCCCCCCCGGUGAAUGUGUGAGGAAAUUCUCGGCAAUCGAGGUGCUCGUUCAGGCGGCACACCGUCGGACGCGCCUGAAUGCUGGAACCCCCGAUGGCGCUGCUGGCAGGCAGCGAAAGGGUCAGCGGUGGGAUACAUUCCUGCCCCGGGCGCGGUGGAUGCGCCAAGGAUCGAAUGCGGGGUCAUCGAGGUUGCAUCGCCCCAGUCCAGGCGCGCAGCACCUCGGUGCCUUGCUGUGCAUAUGGGAAGGACAGUACCACUCUCGGCAACGGAUAUCUCGGCUCUCGCAACGAUGAAGGACGUAGCAAAAUGCGAUAUUUGGUGUGAAUUGCAGAAUCUCGUGAGCCAUCAACUAUUUGAAUGCAAGUUGAGCUCGAAGCCUCUGUGGCUGAGGGCACGCCUGCCUGGGCGUCGUUCCAAGUUGCGCUCCCUCUCGGACAUUCUGGGGGAUGCGGAUUCUGGCCGCCUGUGCCCCGCAUGGGAUGGGGGCGGCCUAAGUGCGGGUGUCGAUCGAGCACGGUGGGCCGCGGUGUAACGGUGGUGCGGCAGCGUACCCCAUCGCGUGCCCGUGCGGUGCUGGGUUGCCUCCGGGGGACCCUUCCGGCUGCGCGUGGUCCGCGCACGCUCGGUUGGUGACCUCAGGUCAGGUGGGAGCACCCGCUGAGUUUAAGCAUAUAAAUAAG
rnacentral:rRNA from 1 species